CCUACGGGUGGCAGCAGUAGGGAAUUUUCGGCAAUGGGCGCAAGCCUGAACGAGCAAUGCCGCGUGAACGAGGAAGGUCUUCGGAUUGUAAAGUUCUGUUAUAGAGGAAGAAGGGUGUAGGGAGGAAAUGGCUUCCAAUUGACAGUACUCUGUGAGGAAGUCACGGCUAACUACGUGCCAGCAGCCGCGGUAAUACGUAGGAGGCGAGCGUUAUCCGGAUUGAUUGGGCGUAAAGGGUGCGUAGGCGGCUUGUUAAGUCAGCGGUAAAAGGUCCGGGCUCAACCGGUGCAGGCCGUUGAAACUGGGGGUCUUGAGUGGGCGAGAAGGAUGCGGAACGCGAGGUGUAGCGGUGAAAUGCAUAGAUAUCACGCAGAACUCCGAUUGCGAAGGCAGCCUACUGGCG
rnacentral:rRNA from 1 species